UAGAUUUUUCAGGUCAUGUAAAAUAUCUA
rnacentral:piRNA from 1 species